GCGCUCGUGGCGGAACUGGAAGACGCGCCUGGCUCAAACCCGGGUGCCCACAUGGGCAUGCAGGUUCGACUCCUGCCGAGCGCACGA
rnacentral:tRNA from 1 species